UAGGGAAUCUUCGGCAAUGGACGAAAAGUCUGACCGAGCAACGCCGCGUGAGUGAAGAAAGGUUUUCGGAUCGUAAAACUUUGUUGUUAGAGAAGAACAAGGGUGAGAGUAACUGUUCACCCCUUGACGGUAUCUAACCAGAAAGCCACGGCUAACUACGUGCCAG
rnacentral:rRNA from 1 species